rnacentral:misc_RNA from 1 species
CUGUUCCCGCCUAUUUCUCUAACCAAAAAUUUAGACUUGUUCUUGUUAUCUAUGCUUAGGCCUAUCUUUGUUUUUUGUGAAUUAGUUGUCUUUUUAUUUCACUAGUUUAAAUUGUAUAAAAUGAGUAAUCAUUUUGAAAAUCUUCGUGAACUAGGAAAAAGGAUUGAUGAAGGUAUUGAACAUCUUGAAAAUAAACUUGCUAAUCCAUAUAGUCUGGGAGUAGUCACUUCAAAAUCAGCAGCAUUAUGUGAGAAAACAAUUGAGAAGUUGGAAAAUGAAAUGAAAGAUCUGCUGGAGAACAUCGAACCAUUCAUCAAAGAGGAAACAGAAGAUUUAGAAGAAAUACAAGGCGACAUUGACGCUGUGAAUGAUUUUAUGAAGAAAUUAAUUGAUAAUAUCAAUGUUAUGGAAUCCAGGUUGAGGAAUAAACCAGACUACGUUCCUUUUUCAAUGCCUAUUCAGGACAACUUUUCACCUGUAUCACCUGUAAACUCUGUGAUCGAUGACUGCUCAGUGGCCAACACUUCGAUCUUGAAAGAUCUCACCAACAGCGAAAAUCUCAUCGGAAACGAAUCACCGAACUUGUUGGUGUCUCCCAACUACAUCAGCACGCCAGAGCCGGGCUCCAGUUGCCGCCGGUUCUCCACCUCGUCGCGGAAGCCGACCAACCUCACACCGUUCCAAAAGAUCUGGCAGAAACACAACCAGUCACCUGACAUCAGCCAUCUCAGUGAGAACAUGUCUCGGCUCGACACUCCCGGCAAUCUCAGCAGAAACUCCAACAGGUCGUUUCUAAGAAAUCAACCUCAACUUCCGAAAGUUCCCGCUAUGCAUAACGGUGGACUCAAAAAGAAAGAGAUUAUCGAGUCCCCUAAAGAGCCUGAAUGUUCGUUUCAAGUUUUUCGUCGUCCACAUUACCAGAGAAACUACAAUUACAAUUGAGAGGUACUACAAUUAUUAUAAAUACUUGUGUUGUUUUGUCUGUAUUGCUCACAAUCAUCCUUACUACCCAAUUUGUUGGUCAUAUUCUCAGUUAUUUUAAUAUAAAUCGGAUCAGCUGGUGGUUUAAACUCUAAGGGCCGUUUGCACAGUCACAGUUUAAACUAAAUUUUAUUUUAAACUGGAUUAAAUCCGUAUCAAGUCUUGUUUGUUAUAAUAUGAUUCAUUUUGAGUUUAAACCACCAGCUGAUUAAAUCCAGUUUCAGCUUUGACUGUGCAAACUGCCCUUAAUGGAACUAUGGAAUAAUGAAAGUAUCCUCUCUCCCUAGAAUGAAACAAAUUAUGAUUGAUGGAUGUGACCGUUGACCAUAGCUUAAUGAUCCAUAGCUUUAAACUUUCAACUAAGCUUUCUACUAACUUCACUGCGCAUCCAAGUACUCUUUGAUGAUGAUAAGAAUAUUGCUUAUCCAUAUGUACACAUUUCUGAUUCUAUGUUAUGUUUUCUUGUAAUUAAUUUUUAUUGUACUCAAUAUUUAUGUUAUUUUCUACCACUUACCAUAUUAUAAUAGUCUUUGAGAUGUCGGUAUAUAAUUUAUGCGUGAUGCAUGUAUAAAAUUAGUUUGUUGAAAUGAUAAUUUGUUGUAAAUUAAGUUUUAGAUUGGUAACUUGGAGUCACUGGAAUUUAGCGGUAUACACAUUCAUCUAUUGCCUCAGUCAUGAGUCAAAACUCCAUUAGUUCCUAAGUGCCAUCCCAAUAUAAAAAAAUUUCUGUCGCAAACUUCUCAUAAAAUUAUAUUUAUCAUCUAUCGAUGCUCAUUUGUAGCUCUUAUCUGUCAACCUUUUUCUUUCUGUUGUCGAAAUAAUCCUAUUAUUAUUCAAAACAAUAAUGCAUUAUGUUUAAGUGAUCCUGAAAUAUAAGUGGGACACUUCUUGGUUGCUUGAAUUAAAAUAUUAAAAUAGCAUCUGAAUGACAGUGAAUCACUUGAUUAAUCGCACCAGAAAAAUCAACUCAUUAUAGGAAGUUGAGAAAUUAGUAGUCUGAAGAGUUAAAAUAUAAAAAUUCACUUUAAAUUUAAUAAAUUGGAGGAAUCUACUAUUUGCAACAUUCAAGUUUAUAAGUUACUUAGACAAGGAAAUGUUUCAGGUGGGUUGCCAUCUUCAGGUAGGCUAUAUAUUAAAAAAAAUCCUGAAGAUUCCUGCAACCCAGUCGAAAAUCUCGUUGUUCAAGUAACUUAUAAAUUUGGAAGUUUCAAAACAUAGCCUGCAAGUUUAAUUUAUUAAAUUCCAAGUGCAUUAAUAACCACAGUCCGUGAUAGAAUCCAAAAUUGAUAGAUAAAUAAAUUUGAUGAGCAAGUAUAGUGACGUAGGUAAGGAGUGGUUGAAAAAAUCGAAUUAGAAUAUUAACUGCCUGUUGCACAAAAUCCAUUUAAAUCGUGAUUUAAUUCACGAGAACCAUUUAGAGAAGCCUUCUCUGAUUUUUUUAAACCGGCUUUUGUGCGACUGGACCAAUAUCUUAAUCUCUUAUUUAAAAUGUGACUAAAGAUAAUAAUAAAGCGACUGAGAUUAGAAAAAAAUCAUAAAUGCCUUGUAUCAAUUUAUAUUUGUUAUUAUUGUUGUAUUCAAAUUAUUGUAUUUAAUAAUCCAUAAUAUUAAUUCUAAAGAUUUGUUCUUCUAUCAGUCUAAUAAAACAUUUACAGUAUAUAUUUUGAAAAUAAAUUGUUUACUCUUUA